UACGUAGGGGGCUAGCGUUGUCCGGAUUUAUUGGGCGUAAAGAGCGUGUAGGCGGCCUGGUAGGUCUGCUGUGAAAACUCGAGGCUCAACCUCGAGAUGUCGGCGGAAACCAUCUGGCUAGAGUCCGGAAGAGGAGAGUGGAAUUCCUGGUGUAGCGGUGAAAUGCGCAGAUAUCAGGAAGAACACCCGUGGCGAAGGCGGCUCUCUGGGACGGUACUGACGCUGAGGAGCGAAAGCCAGGGGAGCAAACGGG
rnacentral:rRNA from 1 species